GUGCUUGCUUCGGCAGCACUUAUACUAAAAUUGGAAUGAUACAGGGAUUAGCAUGGUCCCUGCGCAAGGAUGAGUUGCAAUUUUGUGAAGCGUUCCAUGUUUUU